AUGGGAUCAAGAGCAAGAAGAUUCAACUCAAAGAGAGAUAUCACAGGACUUACCUUAGCAGUGCAAUCACCAACACAGACAAGAGAAGAGAAAUCACUGGAUUGGGGAGAGUUUGGAGAGGAGAGUCAAAUGAGUGAUGAAGUCAAUUUUAGUUUGAAUUCAAAGAAACCGAACAAAAAUGAAUGGGAAAAAAAUUGCAUCAUGUGCUUCAUGACCUCUUAAAAUGGGUUGCAUUGAAAAGAGUAAUCCUGUAUCAUCCACUCCUUUGAGUCCCCCAAACUAAGAUGGAUGGAAAGAUUGAUCCGACAUUUUGAGAUCAUCGCUUUCAAUGUUCUACUUUUCAGACUCAAUAUCACAGCACUUAAAAAAGCUAAGUUUGUAGAAGUGGAAGUUUACCAAUGUGUACUUUUUGUUCACUGUUUUUUAGGCUCUCAGACUAAUCAUGAAACACUAACAGAAAUAUGCUGGCUUUGGCAGAGAUAAAAGUUGUAUAAUUCUGGAGUUGGACAGGCUUCUAUCUCAGUCACUUCCUAUCUAAGUAGCCAACCACAUUGUUUGGCACAGCCAUGGCACUCAGGAAAUGGACAUUGUUGUGAUGGUGUUUUUUAUAUGGUUUUCUUUAGUUUUGAAUUUUGCGUAUCUUAAUGAUACCUAAUAUCUUACUCCCAGAAAGAAUGUGAUGCAAUUUUGAGGACAGCUCCUUCCUUUAAAAAAAACUAAUAUCUAACUUUCAGUGUCAUUUGCCUAAUAUUUUUCGUUUCUUUCAUUUACUCUUCCAAAAAUACAGUUAAGAAAAUGAAAAGCAAAUGACAGCCUGGUAGAAACUAUCCAAAACACAUCUGUCAGACAAAAGAUUUGAAUCAAGAACAUGUAGAGUUCCUACAAAUCAAUUCCAAAAAAAAAAAAAAAAGAAAGAAAGAAAGAAAAAGAGAAAAAAAGCAGACAAUCCAAUCAAAGAAGAAACAAAAGACAUCAACAGAUACCUCAAAAAAUAGUUUAAAUGGUGAAUAAAAACGUACUCAUUGUUAGAAAAAUUCA
rnacentral:lncRNA from 1 species